rnacentral:misc_RNA from 1 species
GAAAUGCGAUAAGUAAUGUGAAUUGCAGAAUUCAGUGAAUCAUCGAAUCUUUGAACGCACAUUGCGCCCCCUGGUAUUCCGGGGGGCAUGCCUGUUCGAGCGUCAUUUCACCACUCAAGCCUCGCUUGGUAUUGGGCAACGCGGUCCGCCGCGUGCCUCAAAUCGACCGGCUGGGUCUUCUGUCCCCUAAGCGUUGUGGAAACUAUUCGCUAAAUGGGUUCCGGGAGCCUCCGCCGUAAAACAACCCCAUUUCAAAGGUUGACCUCGGAUAAGUUAGGGAUACCCGCUGAACUUAA